UCUAAAGUCAGAGGUCUUCAAAAUCUGAACAAAACACAGCAUCCACUCCAAGACCCCUCAGCCAAGCUCCUGGAGCUGAGAUUCUUGAGACAAACUGCAGAAAUGAGCAAGAAAGUGACAGAAACAUACUCACCAGGGAGAAGCUGAGAGCUCUACCUUCUCAGGACCAGGCUGUGAAGGUCUGAAAGCCCGAGGCUGGCUCAGACACAACCCGCCUGGAAUGUCGGUUUGAAACUUAAAAGCAACGACCAUUCAGUCAGUUAUUUCCCUCCAUUCCCAGUGAUGUCCACACGAUUGAGACUCCCUUCCUGGAAGAACAGCCUUCCUGACCCCCGGCAAGCAGACUCAGCCACUGCCCUGACAUGCUGCCCGGGAGCCUACUCUAGGGAAAAAUGCCUUAUUUAGGAGGUCUAGGAACGGCC
rnacentral:lncRNA from 1 species